CACACUUAAUCUGAUUUCACUCCUUGAGCAUCAGCAUAGGACACUGAUAAACUUGCUCUGCAGUGGAAAGGGAAAGAUUUACUCAGUUUGUGGUGCAAAAGGAAAAGUCUGGAUGAAGAUUUUAUCAAUUAUGUGGGGAGAUGAGUGCUAAUGCAGGAUGCUGUGCUAGCUGUGCUGAAGACUACAUGCCUUAACAUGCAGAAGGAGCAGCCAUCUCCUCAGCCUGGUUCCUAUUCAUCUGCACUUUUACAUGCAAAGUAGGGACUUGGAUUCCAAGGGCCAGUAAUGAUCUUCAGAGCCUGGCAGCUGCAAAUGGAACAGCUGUAGAUACAUUAGCUCAGCACCUAGAUGCAGUGACACAUCUCUGGCCACCCAGGCUGCUGCUCAUUGUUAGCAUCACCAGUGGCAGAGGAGGCUACAGAAAGACUCCUGUUUAUUGGUAGAGGAGACCCCAGGAAGGACCUAUGUGUACCUCCUACUGCCCUGCCUACAGGGCAUUCCUCCCCACUCCCUCUCAGGCACUAAGACUAUACAGCGAUCAGGAGAUGCAAGUACAACCUGAGGAGGACACAUCUGAACUCACUCCAGCAGCAGCAGCCCAUCAGAACCAGACUGAGAGAGACUCACCCGUGACCAGUUGAGCUUCAUUACUUCCCAGAAGACAAUGAACAUCCAUUAGAAACCCGGUCUUCCUUUCAGUCAGCAGGACCUCUGGGAAGUCAGCACACCAAGAGGAAUGAACAGUCUC